AUACGUAGGGUGCGAGCGUUGUCCGGAAUUACUGGGCGUAAAGAGCUCGUAGGUGGUUUGUCGCGUCGUCUGUGAAAUUCCGGGGCUUAACUCCGGGCGUGCAGGCGAUACGGGCAUAACUUGAGUACUGUAGGGGAGACUGGAAUUCCUGGUGUAGCGGUGAAAUGCGCAGAUAUCAGGAGGAACACCGGUGGCGAAGGCGGGUCUCUGGGCAGUAACUGACGCUGAGGAGCAAAAGCAGGGGUAGCGAACAGGAUUAGAUACCCUGGUAGUCCAUGCCGUAAACGGUGGGCGCUAGGUGUAGGGGUCUUCCACGACUUCUGUGCCGUAGCUAACGCAUUAAGCGCCCCGCCUGGGGAGUACGGCCGCAAGGCUAAAACUCAAAGGAAUUGACGGGG
rnacentral:rRNA from 1 species